rnacentral:rRNA from 1 species
AGAGUUUGAUCCUGGCUCAGAACGUACGCUGGCGGCACGCCUAAUACAUGCAAGUCGAACGAAGUAGCAAUACUUAGUGGCAGACGGGUGAGUAACAUGUGGGUAUCUUCCCUUUGGUGAGGAAUAACACGAGGAAACUUGUGCUAAUACCUCAUAAGUCUUUACGGAGAAAGCUUUAUGCGCCAUUGGAUGAGCCCGCACUUGAUUAGUUUGUUGGUGGGGUAAUGGCCUACCAAGACUGUGAUCAAUAGCUGAUUUGAGAGGAUGAUCAGCCACAUUGGGACUGAGACACGGCCCAAACUCCUACGGGAGGCAGCAGUAGGGAAUCUUGCACAAUGGAGGAAACUCUGAUGCAGCGAUGCCGCGUGAGUGAAGAAGGCCUUUGGGUUGUAAAGCUCUUUCGUCGGGGAAGAAAAUGACUGUACCCGAAUAAGAAGGUCCGGCUAACUUCGUGCCAGCAGCCGCGGUAAUACGAAGGGACCUAGCGUAGUUCGGAAUUACUGGGCUUAAAGAGUUCGUAGGUGGUUAAAAUAGUUGGUGGUGAAAUCCCAGAGCUUAACUCUGGAACUGCCAUCAAAACUUUUUAGCUAGAGUAUGAUAGAGGAAAGCAGAAUUUCUAGUGUAGAGGUGAAAUUCGUAGAUAUUAGAAAGAAUACCAAUUGCGAAGGCAGCUUUCUGGAGCAUUACUGACACUGAGGAACGAAAGCAUGGGUAGCGAAGAGGAUUAGAUACCCUCGUAGUCCAUGCCGUAAACGAUGUGUGUUAGACGUUGGAAAUUUAUUUUCAGUGUCGCAGCAAAAGCGAUAAACACACCGCCUGGGGAGUACGACCGCAAGGUUAAAACUCAAAUGAAUUGACGGGGACCCGCACAAGUAGUGGAGCAUGUGGUUUAAUUCGAAGAUACGCGCAGAACCUUACCAACACUUGACAUGUUCGUCGCGACUCUAAGAGAUUAGAGUUUUCGGUUCGGCCGGACGAAACACAGGUGCUGCAUGGCUGUCGUCAGCUCGUGUCGUGAGAUGUUGGGUUAAGUCCCGCAACGAGCGCAACCCUCACUUUUAGUUGCCAUCAUUAAGUUGGGCACUCUGAAAGAACUGCCAGUGAUAAGCUGGAGGAAGGUGGGGAUGACGUCAAGUCCUCAUGGCCCUUACGUGUUGGGCUACACACGUGCUACAAUGGCAUCUACAACAGGAAGCAAAACGGCAACGUUAAGCAAAUCCCGAAAAGAUGCCUCAGUUCGGAUUGCACUCUGCAACUCGAGUGCAUGAAGCUGGAAUUACUAGUAAUCGCGGAUCAGCGCGCCGCGGUGAAUACGUUCCCGGGUCUUGUACACACCGCCCGUCACACCAUGGGAGUUGGUUCUACCUUAAGGCAAAGUUUAAAACCUUUGACCACGGUAUAGUCAGCGACUGGGGUGAAGUCGUAACAAGGUAACC